rnacentral:rRNA from 1 species
CACGUAGGGGACGAGCGUUGUCCGGAUUCAUUGGGCGUAAAGCGCGCGUAGGCGGCUCGGAAAGUCGGUCGUGAAAUGCCGGGGCUCAACCCCCGGGACUGCGUCCGAUACUCUCGAGCUGGAGGCAGGUAGGGGAGAUCGGAAUUCCUGGUGUAGCGGUGAAAUGACGCAGAUAUCAGGAGGAACACCGGUGGCGAAGGCGGGUCUCUGGGCCGAUACUGACGCUGAGGAGCGAAAGCGUGGGGAGCGAACAGG